rnacentral:lncRNA from 1 species
ACCAGCCUGGACAACAUGGUGAAACUCCCUACUAAAAAAAAUACAAAAAUUAGCUGGGCAUGGUGGUACACGCCUGUAGUCCUAGCUACUCGGGAGGCUGAGGCAGGAGAAUCGCUUGAACCCAGGAGGCAGAGGUUGCCAUGAGCUGAGAUCACACCACUGCACUCCAGCCUGAAAGACAGAAUGAGACUCCGUCUCAAAAACAAACAAAAAAAGCCAGUCAUGGUGGUGCUUGCCUGCAAUUCUAGCAACUCAGGGGGCUGAGGCAGGAAGAUUGUUUGAGUCCAGGAGUUGGAGGCUGCAGUGAGCCAAGACAGCACCACUGCACUCCAGCCUGCGUGACAGAGUGAGAUCCUGUCUGGGAAAAAAUAAAUAAAUAAAUACUGAACUGUAGCAAGGGCUAAGGAGAAAAUAAAAGUGUGUUAGAUAGAGCAAGGGUGAUGGGAGGUGGGCAGGGACAACACUACAUAGGAAAGAAGGCCUGGUGGUCACAGGUGGCAUGUUGAACAGAUACUCAAACAAGGGGCUAUUCUAGUGUCCCAGUUGCCUUGGGCUCAUGCAGACAGUGCUAAUCUCCAUUUACCACUAAUCUUUAGCUCUCUCUGCCCUUGUGUGAAGUACAUGCAUGCAUGCGGGUGUUGAGAGUAAAAAUCCUUUGAUGCCGAGAAGCCACACAGGCGUGGACCUGCUUCGCCAAGCAGAAAGCGGGAGAGUGACGUGAUGUCACGCAGAGCUUGGUCCUGCUGGAGAUUUGGGGAAGUCUCAAGGAAAGAAACUGGUUCCAGACGUGAGAGUUUUAUUCCAAUAUGGCUUCCAGGAUCCCAGAGGACUCGACUUGUAGAGAGCAUCACUGGAGUCAGAAGGGCCGAGGUCCAGGGGCCAAGAACACACCUUGGUGCCAGAAGAAGUUCAUAAGUCUUGAAAUGCAGCAUCUCCUGAGAUGGAGUUCCACUUUUUUGCCCAGGCUGGUCUUGAAUUCAUGGGCUCAAGUGAUCUUCUAGCCUCAGCCUCCCAAAGCUCUGGGAUUACGUGUGUGAGUCACCCUGCCCAGCCUGAUAAAUUCUGGAGGAAAAAAUUAGAAGAGAAGAUGGUAUUUCAUUUGUGGCUAAGAAUCUUUGACAACUUUCUUCUGUUUCCUCACUGCAGAGGAAUCAUCUCUCAAAGCCACUCAACUCAUGCUUGUCUCCUCUGAAACAUCAUUGGUAGGUGGAGUGGAAAGACUGCAAAUUUCAGAGUCAUCUGGGCUUCAACUUCCAGCCCACCCACACCCUGACCCCAUGACCCUGGUUAUGUUAACAUUUCCAAGCCUCGUUUUCUUUACCUUUCAAAAACUGGGGAUAAACCUUCUAAUUCUGCAGCAUAAUGUCAAGAAUCCAUGACAUCAAGCAUGCAAAAGUGAUUGUGCUGUACUUUGCACAUGGUAGGUGUACAAUAAGCAUUACUUCUCCUAAAUGUCUGUAACUGCAUAUAUUAAAGACAUUAGAUAUUACUUGAUCUUACAAGUCUGUCUUUUUGUAUGUGAAUGUUGGGUUGCCCAUUCCCAGAAUGCUGUUUGAAAGAGAGAUAAGAACCCCUGGCAGAGUACUAAGGGCUUUUGCAUACGUGUGGAUUCUGUUCACCCUCUCAUCUUCCAGAUACCAGAUCCUGUAUGCUUUUCGGCAUCUC